UACGAAGGGGGCUAGCGUUGUUCGGAAUCACUGGGCGUAAAGGGCGCGUAGGCGGCCGAUCAAGUCGGGGGUGAAAGCCUGUGGCUCAACCACAGAAUGGCCUUCGAUACUGGUUGGCUCGAGACCGGAAGAGGUGAGUGGAACUGCGAGUGUAGAGGUGAAAUUCGUAGAUAUUCGCAAGAGCACCAGUGGCGAAGGCGGCUCACUGGUCCGGUACUGACGCUGAGGGACGAAAGCUAGGGGAGCGAAUGGG
rnacentral:rRNA from 1 species